rnacentral:rRNA from 1 species
UACGUAGGGUGCGAGCGUUAAUCGGAAUUACUGGGCGUAAAGGGUGCGCAGGCGGCGUCGCAAGUCAGGCGUGAAAUCCCCGGGCUUAACCUGGGAAUGGCACUUGAAACUACGAUGCUGGAGUAUGGCAGAGGGAGGUGGAAUUCCACGUGUAGCGGUGAAAUGCGUAGAGAUGUGGAGGAACACCGAUGGCGAAGGCAGCCUUCUGGGCCAAUACUGACGCUCAUGCACGAAAGCGUGGGGAGCAAACAGG